GUUGUCGGGAAGAAGGGAGGUAUUUAGCCAGGGCCGACUCCUUUGCCCUUUUCCAUCCCCAACCUCAGCACCGCCCCGGGCUGGCACCCGAAAGGGUUCGUUUUGCGGGAAAAGGAGGCCCCUAACAUCUGGUUGUCCCACUUCUGUGAGGCUGAAGUUGAUCACUGGUGAGGCUGUGACAGCCAGAUCUCUGCGUUGUAAAGGUGAAUUCCCAGUGCCUGGCAGUACAUGGUAUAAAGAAGACAUUCACAAUCUGUUGAAGGAAUGAAUGGAUGGAUCCGUUGGAGAGUCCCAACCUCAAACCUACUCCGUUCUGACAGAGAACAGUGAAGGGCCUGCCUAACAUUGCGGAAGACUGAGCCUAAUUACAAGCAAGUUCUUCCCCAAGUCCCACAGGAGGGCUGGGAAGUGGGCACUUUGGGAGGUCCUAUUAUCAGGGUAGAGGAAGACCUGGAGAGACGAACCCCAGCUCCUGCCCCGCCCUACCCAUCCUGCUGGGCAGAGCGGCGGAAGGGGGCUUUUCUCUACCAGACCCUCGGGCUUCACGACUGCACACAAGGUGUCUGUUGAGGCAACCCAGCAGACUCCCAAUCUCUUCGCUCGCAGCGCCCCACCCUCCCCGCAGCGGUAGCGGUGAGAUCUGGGGGCUCCUGCCCUGCCCGCCCCCAGCACCCCGGCCUCGCAUCACCCCUCACGCCUCACCAUCGCGCCGGGACGCCCGGGUCCAGGACUUUCUCUUUCCGGUCGGGCCCGGUCAGCUGACGCGGCGGUCACGUGGCCCGGGGCGGGGCUCCGCGGGGGAGGGCGGGGCCUUCGCGGGGGCGGGGCGUCCUGCCCCGAGAUGCCCGGCUCGUAACGCGAGGCCCCUCAGUCUCCGGAAGCCUUCCCCGCGAGGGCCCAGCGCCAACCCGCAGGUUAACCGAGGGCAGGCCCUAAGCGAUCACGAUGGACGUUUAGUCCAGCCUCCGGUCAGGAUGUGAUUUUUUGGCUUCUAACGCCAAGGCCCACCUCGCCUUUCUCUCCUCUUACCUGCCACACUUCUGCAGCCCCACGAUGAAGGGGGUCUGAGCGGGAGACUUCUGUCUGCCACCUUCCGUCUGGUUCUGGAGGCUUGGGAACCUGGGCAGGAGCCUUCAGCAUGGGCGGGCAGUGGCUUCUGGCCCCUGGGAUUCUCCUGGCUGGCUGUCUCAUUGCAGGACUCAGGAUCCCCCUCCCCAGGACCCAGUCGUGUGACCCGCUCCGUGGCCUUCAGAAUCACCAGUGAAGCCGUCUCAGCGGUGCUCAGGAACCCUGCCUCCCUGGAGUACCAGCUGCUACGUGAGAGCAUCCGACACCAGGCACCCCCAUGUCUGAAGCCUCAGGUCAGCCUGACACCUCCCUCCCCAGCUGUGCCAUGGCUCUCAUUCUCCUGGGCCUCCUGCUUAUUGCACUUGUCCUGGUCUCCCCUCAGGCUGCUGCUCCCUCCCCUGCAACCCAACUCCAAGCCUCUCCUUCACCACCAGCCUUCCACAGUCAGAGAGGGAAGGUGCCAGCCGAGGUCACACAGCAAAGGGGCUUGUCCCUCCUAUGACACCCAAGGACUGGAGUCCCAGGGCCGGGACAGGCGCAGUGCGAGGAGCUUCAUCCUGCUCACUCAGCUCAGGCCCUGAGGGGUGGAACAGGCCAAGGUGGAGGCCUGCAGGAGAUGCUGGACGGGGAACAGAGCAGGCUCCCUCACACCUGGUUUGGCACAGGGGUGGGGCUGGAUCUAUUAUUGGUCUUAAGAUAAACUCCAGGCCUUUGGGGUAUGGAAAAUUAAAAGUGGAGCAGCAAUCAGAAGUUGGUAUGAAAGACUGCUUUUGUUUCUAGACAGUCAUGCACCAUGAGGUCCUGGGAGAGGGUCAGCAUAGAGCCUCCAGGAGGAGGUGCAGACCGAAGUCUGACAGAGCCGAGGGUGGGAAUGGGGGCUCUCGGGGGCAAGGCCUGGGCCCAGCCACCCCUCUGCCUUAGAGCCAAUCACGCUCAGACCAACAGGCUUUGGGUGCUGGUGGGCCAGGUGAGGCCUGGCAGCUACACAGCAAACCAGAA